GGUCUCUUCAUCUUCCUGAUAUAUGGGGUGUACAACACAGAGCUCUACUGCACCUGGAUCACACGCGGUUUUCCUUUCCAGUAGCCUUCAGGCAGGCCGGGCGGAAACUGCGGCGCAGGCGCCCUGAGUUCUUUUAGCUCCCUCUGGCCGGGUCGAGGAGUUCCCAGCAGACACCGCGCCGCGGCUGCGCAGUACCGGGGAGGCUUUUAAUUCCAUUGUGGAGAGGACGGCGUUAUUUUUAUUAACUGGAGGCGACGGCGGCUACGGCGGCGGCGGGACCCGUAAGUGUUGUCGGUGGGUCUCGGGGGGAGAGGGCGAGGCCCGAGGAAGAGUCGCACGGCCCUGCGUGCCGGUGCCUGAGGCGACGGGGCUGGGAAUUAGUGCUG